rnacentral:sRNA from 1 species
UGCUUCUCAUAUCUUUCAUCUCCUUACUCUUUAAUGGAAGGUAUCCUGUUUUUAACGUUUUUGUCUAGUCGUUUCAUUAAUUGGGUGGUGGGUGUUAUGAUUUUCGCCAUGUCUUCUACUGUUUCUCUCUUUCCAAAU